rnacentral:rRNA from 1 species
AUUGAACGCUGGCGGCAGGCUUAACACAUGCAAGUCGAGCGGAGUGAUGGUGCUUGCACUAUCACUUAGCGGCGGACGGGUGAGUAAUGCUUAGGAAUCUGCCUAUUAGUGGGGGACAACAUCUCGAAAGGGAUGCUAAUACCGCAUACGUCCUACGGGAGAAAGCAGGGGAUCACUUGUGACCUUGCGCUAAUAGAUGAGCCUAAGUCGGAUUAGCUAGUUGGUGGGGUAAAGGCCUACCAAGGCGACGAUCUGUAGCGGGUCUGAGAGGAUGAGCCGCCAAACUGGGACUGAGACAAGGCCCAGACUCCUACGGGAGGCAGCAGUGGGGAAUAUUGGACAAUGGGGGGGACCCUGAUACAGCCAUGCCGCGUGUGUGAAGAAGGCCUUAUGGUUGUAAAGCACUUUAAGCGAGGAGGAGGCUCUUUUGGUUAAUACCCAAGAUGAGUGGACGUUACUCGCAGAAUAAGCACCGGCUAACUCUGUGCUAGCCGCCGCGGUAA